GAAAUGCGAUACGUAAUGCGAAUUGCAGAUCCAGUGAAUCAUCGAGUCUUUGAACGCACAUUGCGCCCCCCGGCAAUCCGGGGGGCUUGUCCGACCGAGCGCCGCAGCGCCGCUCAGGGUCUCCCUUCUUCGCGGGGGGAGGCGUCCCUGGUGUUGGGGCACGCCCGAAACAGGGCGGCUCUUAAGCUCAGCGGCGGUCGCCCGCGCGGUGCUCCAGGCGCAGUAAUUCCCACUACAUGCCGCCUCGGAGCCGCCGCCGGCGGCCCGCCACCAGCUCUCCUGGCGAGUCUUCUCUUGCGCUGCUGACGCGGCGGGGGGCGGGCUCGCACAGGAAACUCAAAAACCCGGUUGGCCUCGGGUCGGACAAGGCUACCCGCUGAACUUAA
rnacentral:misc_RNA from 1 species